rnacentral:rRNA from 1 species
UACGGAGGGAGCUAGCGUUGUUCGGAAAUACUGGGCGUAAAGCGCACGUAGGCGGCGCAGCAAGUCAGGGGUGAAAUCCCGGGGCUCAACCCCGGAACUGCCCUUGAAACUGCAGUGCUAGAAUCUUGGAGAGGCGAGUGGAAUUCCGAGUGUAGAGGUGAAAUUCGUAGAUAUUAGGAAGAACACCAGUGGCGAAGGCGGCUCACUGGCCCGGUACUGACGCUGAGGCGCGAAAGCGUGGGGAGCAAACAGG